rnacentral:rRNA from 1 species
GGGUUGUGAGGUUAAGCGACUAAGCGUACACGGUGGAUGCCCUGGCAGUCAGAGGCGAUGAAGGACGUGCUAAUCUGCGAAAAGCGUCGGUAAGGUGAUAUGAACCGUUAUAACCGGCGAUGUCCGAAUGGGGAAACCCAGUGUGAUUCGUCACACUAUCGUUAACUGAAUACAUAGGUUAACGAGGCGAACCGGGGGAACUGAAACAUCUAAGUACCCCGAGGAAAAGAAAUCAACCGAGAUUCCCCCAGUAGCGGCGAGCGAACGGGGAGCAGCCCAGAGUCUGAAUCAGCUUGUGUGUUAGUGGAACGGUCUGGAAAGUCCGACGGUACAGGGUGAUAGUCCCGUACACCAAAAUGCACAGGCUGUGAACUCGAAGAGUAGGGCGGGACACGUGGUAUCCUGUCUGAAUAUGGGGGGACCAUCCUCCAAGGCUAAAUACUCCUGACUGACCGAUAGUGAACCAGUACCGUGAGGGAAAGGCGAAAAGAACCCCGGCGAGGGGAGUGAAAAAGAACCUGAAACCGUGUACGUACAAGCAGUGGGAGCACCUUUAUGGUGUGACUGCGUACCUUUUGUAUAAUGGGUCAGCGACUUAUAUUCUGUAGCAAGGUUAACCGUAUAGGGGAGCCGCAGGGAAACCGAGUCUUAACUGGGCGUUAAGUUGCAGGGUAUAGACCCGAAACCCGGUGAUCUAGCCAUGGGCAGGUUGAAGGUUGGGUAACACUAACUGGAGGACCGAACCGACUAAUGUUGAAAAAUUAGCGGAUGACUUGUGGCUGGGGGUGAAAGGCCAAUCAAACCGGGAGAUAGCUGGUUCUCCCCGAAAGCUAUUUAGGUAGCGCCUCGUGAACUCAUCUUCGGGGGUAGAGCACUGUUUCGGCUAGGGGGUCAUCCCGACUUACCAACCCGAUGCAAACUACGAAUACCGAAGAAUGUUAUCACGGGAGACACACGGCGGGUGCUAACGUCCGUCGUGAAGAGGGAAACAACCCAGACCGCCAGCUAAGGUCCCAAAGUCAUGGUUAAGUGGGAAACGAUGUGGGAAGGCACAGACAGCCAGGAUGUUGGCUUAGAAGCAGCCAUCAUUUAAAGAAAGCGUAAUAGCUCACUGGUCGAGUCGGCCUGCGCGGAAGAUGUAACGGGGCUAAACCAUGCACCGAAGCUGCGGCAGCGACACUAUGUGUUGUUGGGUAGGGGAGCGUUCUGUAAGCCUGCGAAGGUGACCUGUGAGGGUUGCUGGAGGUAUCAGAAGUGCGAAUGCUGACAUAAGUAACGAUAAAGCGGGUGAAAAGCCCGCUCGCCGGAAGACCAAGGGUUCCUGUCCAACGUUAAUCGGGGCAGGGUGAGUCGACCCCUAAGGCGAGGCCGAAAGGCGUAGUCGAUGGGAAACAGGUUAAUAUUCCUGUACUUGGUGUUACUGCGAAGGGGGGACGGAGAAGGCUAUGUUAGCCGGGCGACGGUUGUCCCGGUUUAAGCAUGUAGGCUGGUUAUCCAGGCAAAUCCGGAUAAUCAAGGCUGAGGUGUGAUGACGAGGCACUACGGUGCUGAAGUAACAAAUGCCCUGCUUCCAGGAAAAGCCUCUAAGCAUCAGGUAACACGAAAUCGUACCCCAAACCGACACAGGUGGUCAGGUAGAGAAUACCAAGGCGCUUGAGAGAACUCGGGUGAAGGAACUAGGCAAAAUGGUGCCGUAACUUCGGGAGAAGGCACGCUGGUGUGUAGGUGAAGUCCCUGCGGAUGGAGCUGAGACCAGUCGAAGAUACCAGCUGGCUGCAACUGUUUAUUAAAAACACAGCACUGUGCAAACACGAAAGUGGACGUAUACGGUGUGACGCCUGCCCGGUGCCGGAAGGUUAAUUGAUGGGGUUAUCCGUAAGGAGAAGCUCUUGAUCGAAGCCCCGGUAAACGGCGGCCGUAACUAUAACGGUCCUAAGGUAGCGAAAUUCCUUGUCGGGUAAGUUCCGACCUGCACGAAUGGCGUAAUGAUGGCCAGGCUGUCUCCACCCGAGACUCAGUGAAAUUGAACUCGCUGUGAAGAUGCAGUGUACCCGCGGCAAGACGGAAAGACCCCGUGAACCUUUACUAUAGCUUGACACUGAACAUUGAGCCUUGAUGUGUAGGAUAGGUGGGAGGCUUUGAAGCGUGGACGCCAGUCUGCGUGGAGCCAACCUUGAAAUACCACCCUUUAAUGUUUGAUGUUCUAACGUUGGCCCCUUAUCGGGGUUGCGGACAGUGUCUGGUGGGUAGUUUGACUGGGGCGGUCUCCUCCCAAAGCGUAACGGAGGAGCACGAAGGUUAGCUAAUCCUGGUCGGACAUCAGGAGGUUAGUGCAAUGGCAUAAGCUAGCUUGACUGCGAGCGUGACGGCGCGAGCAGGUGCGAAAGCAGGUCAUAGUGAUCCGGUGGUUCUGAAUGGAAGGGCCAUCGCUCAACGGAUAAAAGGUACUCCGGGGAUAACAGGCUGAUACCGCCCAAGAGUUCAUAUCGACGGCGGUGUUUGGCACCUCGAUGUCGGCUCAUCACAUCCUGGGGCUGAAGUAGGUCCCAAGGGUAUGGCUGUUCGCCAUUUAAAGUGGUACGCGAGCUGGGUUUAGAACGUCGUGAGACAGUUCGGUCCCUAUCUGCCGUGGGCGCUGGAGAAUUGAGGGGGGCUGCUCCUAGUACGAGAGGACCGGAGUGGACGCAUCACUGGUGUUCGGGUUGUCAUGCCAAUGGCACUGCCCGGUAGCUAAAUGCGGAAGAGAUAAGUGCUGAAAGCAUCUAAGCACGAAACUUGCCCCGAGAUGAGUUCUCCCUGAGACUUUAAGUCUCCUGAAGGAACGUUAAAGACGAUGACGUUGAUAGGCCGGGUGUGUAAGCGCAGCGAUGCGUUGAGCUAACCGGUACUAAUGAACCGUGAGGCUUAACCUUACAACGCCGAAG